rnacentral:rRNA from 1 species
UCGUCGUCGCUGUCCGAAAUGCGGUGCACUCUUUUGUGGUACGCGUCAGCGUCGGUUCGCAGCGGGCGAUAAGGCCUUGUGGAAGGUAGCUAGGGGCUUGCCCCCUAGUGUUAUAGACGCAGGAGCUGGGCUCGCUACGGACCGAGGAGAGAGAGUAUCGUUGCAGCGCAUGCCGCAAGGCUAGCUACCUGCCGUCUGUCUCGCUUCACGGACUGAGGACUGCACGCAGUGCUCGGACUGGCGGAGUGGUCCGGCGGUGGACUAGUAUAAAUGCGCUCAGGACGCUGGCGUCCAAAUGGCCGUGC